rnacentral:rRNA from 1 species
CUGGAAUAACACGAGGAAACUUGUGCUAAUACCGGAUAAGUCUUUACGGAGAAAGCUUUAUGCACCAUUGGAUGAGCCCGCACUUGAUUAGUUUGUUGGUAGGGUAAUGGCCUACCAAGACUAUGAUCAAUAGCUGAUUUGAGAGGAUGAUCAGCCACAUUGGGACUGAGACACGGCCCAAACUCCUACGGGAGGCAGCAGUGGGGAAUCUUGCACAAUGGAGGAAACUCUGAUGCAGCGAUGCCGCGUGAGUGAAGAAGGCCUUUGGGUUGUAAAGCUCUUUCGUCGGGGAAGAAAAUGACUGUAC